AACUAAUAGACUUGGGAAAGAUUAGUGAGUUCACUUGCAAGAGCAUACUGAAGGAAUGCUAUGGAAGAACCUAUGGACUUUCUUAGAGGAACAACAAGCUUGAGCUGGAAAAUGCAGGAAUGGAACUUGAGAAGCAAAGCAGAGGCCAAGGUAUCUGAACAACCUCUGCAUCAUUUGUCAAUCAUGGGACCAGGACAUUUUAAGGCCUACUCAUUGCUCUUUGCUGGUACCAAAUGCCUGCCUUCAGCUGGCUCUAGGGUGGCCAACAGACAACAUAAGCAAAUACUUCUAAGGCAAGAUGCUGGAUAACCAAUAAAAAUGUUUACUCAUCAAUAAUCUAUUUUUGGUGUACAAAUUUCCUCAUUAAAGAACACAGAUACAGAAAAAGGCA
rnacentral:lncRNA from 1 species